rnacentral:rRNA from 1 species
AUUGAACGCUGGCGGCAGGCUUAACACAUGCAAGUCGAGCGGGGUGAUGGUGCUUGCACUAUCACUUAGCGGCGGACGGGUGAGUAAUGCUUAGGAAUCUGCCUAUUAGUGGGGGACAACAUCUCGAAAGGGAUGCUAAUACCGCACAUGUCCUACGGGAGAAAGCAGGGGAUCACUUGUGACCUUGCGCUAAUAGAUGAGCAUAAGUCGGAUUAGCUAGUUGGUGGGGUAAAGGCCUAACAAGGCGACGAUCUGUAGCGGGUCUGAGAGGAUGAUCCGCCACACUGGGACUGAGACACGGCCCAGACUCCGACGGGAGGCAGCAGUGGGGAAUAUUGGACAAUGGGGGGAACCCUGUUCCAGUCAUGCCGCGUGUGUGAAGAAGGCCUUAUGGUUGUAAAGCACUUUAAGCGAGGAGGAGGCUCUUUUGGUUAAUACCCAAGAUGAGUGGACGUUACUCGCAGAAUAAGCACCGGCUAACUCUGUGCCAGCCGCCGCUGUAA